GUCAAAUCGAUACCCUACAGAGCGCCUCUUGUCUCCUCCAAGGAAAACAAAGAGCUUUUCGUUUGUACCAUCAGGACCGGUGUGGACCUGGACACCAUUCUACUCCCGGCGAGGCUGCAAGAGAUUGCUGUGGCCCAUUUGGACAGCUUGAGCCCCUCUGAGCAGAUGGCAGUCAAAUGUGCAGCUGUCAUUGGCCAUACGUUUACUCCAAAGCUGCUGCUGUACAUCCUCCCGGAGUGAACAAACAAGAAGAUGGAGGAGACACUCAUGAGCCUGAUCAGUUCCCACGUGUUUGAAUAUUUUGGAAAAGAAACCAGCGCUACACAGGCAGUUGGUUCCUGCCAUUUACAGACACAUCUGGACCCCCUGACAAUGCAAACCCUGGGGCCAGAGGACUCUGAAGAUGUCGGUGCCAUUGCUCCUAGCUUCAGCCUGCAAGAGGAGUUGGGGAUGUUGCAGCAGGAUCAAGCAAUGCGGUUCUGCACUCCCCUGCUGCGAGAAGGGGCUUAUGAGCUGUAGCUGGGGGAUCGGAAGAAGGUCCUGCACCUCAAAUGUGCCACCUUCCUGGAGCACAAGGCUCACAAAUGCAGAAGUUGCGGUGCAGGUGAUUUCAUUUCCUUCCACUGCUAUGCCCUGGACACCCAGAUGAGCAAUGUAGACUCUUUGCUGGGACAGGGCAGUAAGACCAAGGGCAUGGCUCAGGUGCUUUCUGAAGAA